CCUACGGGUGGCAUCAGUGGGGAAUAUUGGACAAUGGGCGAAAGCCUGAUCCAGCCAUGCCGCGUGUGUGAAGAAGGCCUUCGGGUUGUAAAGCACUUUCAGUGGGGAAGAAAGCCUUGGGGCUAAUACCCUCGAGGAAGGACAUCACCCACAGAAGAAGCACCGGCUAACUCCGUGCCAGCAGCCGCGGUAAUACGGAGGGUGCGAGCGUUAAUCGGAAUUACUGGGCGUAAAGCGCGCGUAGGCGGUCUGAUAAGCCGGUUGUGAAAGCCCCGGGCUCAACCUGGGAACGGCAUCCGGAACUGUCAGGCUAGAGUGCAGGAGAGGAAGGUAGAAUUCCCGGUGUAGCGGUGAAAUGCGUAGAGAUCGGGAGGAAUACCAGUGGCGAAGGCGGCCUUCUGGACUGACACUGACGCUGAGGUGCGAAAGCGUGGGUAGCAAACAGGAUUAGAUACCCCUGUAGUC
rnacentral:rRNA from 1 species